CAGUCGCCGCGGGAAUACAGAGGGUGCGAGCGUUAAUCGGAUUUACUGGGCGUAAAGCGUGCGUAGGCGGCUUUUUAAGUCGGAUGUGAAAUCCCUGAGCUUAACUUAGGAAUUGCAUUUGAUACUGGGAAGCUAGAGUAUGGGAGAGGAUGGUAGAAUUCCAGGUGUAGCGGUGAAAUGCGUAGAGAUCUGGAGGAAUACCAAUGGCGAAGGCAGCCAUCUGGCCUAAUACUGACGCUGAGGUACGAAAGCAUGGGGAGCAAACAGGAUUAGAUACCCCGGUAGUCCCUGUCUCUUAUAA
rnacentral:rRNA from 1 species